rnacentral:rRNA from 1 species
AGCAGCCGCGGUAAUUCCAGCUCCAAUAGCGUAUAUUAAAGUUGUUGCAGUUAAAAAGCUCGUAGUUGAAUUUCGGGGUCAGUAGGUUGGUCGUGCCACUGGUACGUACUGGUCUCACUGAUUCCUCCUUCCUGAUGAACCGUAAUGCCAUUAAUUUGGUGUUGCGAGGAAUCUGGACUGUUACUUUGAAAAAUUAGAGUGUUUAAAGCAGGCUAACGCUUGAAUACAUUAGCAUGGAAUAAUGAAAUAGGACGUUCGAUCUUAUUUUGUUGGUUUCUAAGAUUGACGUAAUGAUUAAUAGGGAUAAUUGGGGGCAUUAGUAUUCAAUUGUCAGAGGUGAAAUUCUUGGAUUUAUUGAAGACUAACUACUGCGAAAGCAUUUGCCAAGGAUGUUUUCAUUAAUCAAGAACGAAAGUUAGGGGAUCGAAGACGAUCAGAUACCGUCGUAGUCUUAACCAUAAACUAUGCCGACUAGGGAUCGGGAUGAUGUUAAUUUUUUAAUGUACUCA